GAUGAACGCUGGCGGCGUGCCUAACACAUGCAAGUCGAACGAGAACCCUUUCUUCGGAUUGGGGGACAGUGGCGAACGGGUGAGUAACACGUUGGUGACCUGCCCUGAAGUCGGGGACAACCCUUCGAAAGGAGGGCUAAUACCCGAUGUGUUUGCGCUGUUUAGAAAGGCGCAAAUAAAGCUCCGGCGCUUCAGGAGGGGCCAGCGGCCUAUCAGCUAGUUGGUGGGGUAAUAGCCGACCAAGGCGACGACGGGUAGGGGGCGUGAGAGCGUGACCCCCCACAAUGGAACUGAGACACGGUCCAUACUCCUCCAGGAGGCAGCAGUGAGGAAUAUUGCUCAAUGGGGGCAACCCUGAUGCAGCAACGCCGCGUGGGUGACGAAGGCCUUCGGGUCGUAAAACCCUUUUCUGGGGGAAGAGCAAGGACGGUACCCCAGGAAUAAGUCCCGGCUAACUACGUGCCAGCAGCCGCGGUAAUAC
rnacentral:rRNA from 1 species